rnacentral:lncRNA from 1 species
UUUUUAAUUUGGUUUUUGUUUUGUGUUAUAUUUUUCCCAACCAGGUGUAUUUUCAUACAACUUGGAAGGCAGAAGUAAAGCAGAAGCAAUUUUUCCUGAAGCUUUGGUUGAUUCUAGAGAUACACAUACUGCUUUUAUUCUGCAGCAGCAUUCCCAUAUCCAGGUGAUAGAGGCAGAAAGUGGAAUAAAAAGAAGAAGAAG